rnacentral:rRNA from 1 species
CCGCGAAUUCGCCCUUAGAGUUUGAUCCUGGCUCAGAACGCUGGGAGGCGGCAUGCUUAACACAUGCAAGUCGAACGGGAUCCAGGCUUCGGCCUGGUGAGAGUGGCGGACGGGUGAGUAACGCGUGGGAACCUGCCUAGUGGUGCGGAAUAACUGCGGGAAACUGCAGCUAAUACCGCAUGUGCCCGUAAGGGGAAAGAUUUAUCGCCAUUAGAGGGGCCCGCGUCCGAUUAGGUAGUUGGUGAGGUAACGGCUCACCAAGCCUGCGAUCGGUAGCUGGUCUGAGAGGAUGAUCAGCCACACUGGGACUGAGAUACGGCCCAGACUCCUACGGGAGGCAGCAGUGGGGAAUAUUGGACAAUGGGGGCAACCCUGAUCCAGCAAUGCCGCGUGAGUGAUGAAGGCCUUAGGGUUGUAAAGCUCUUUUGCCAGGGACGAUGAUGACGGUACCUGGAGAAUAAGCCCCGGCUAACUUCGUGCCAGCAGCCGCGGUAAUACGAAGGGGGCGAGCGUUGUUCGGAAUUACUGGGCGUAAAGGGCGCGUAGGCGGUUUGACAAGUCAGGCGUGAAAUUCCCGGGCUCAACCUGGGGGCUGCGCUUGAUACUGUUGAGCUUGAAUGCAGGAGAGGAUGGUGGAAUUCCCAGUGUAGAGGUGAAAUUCGUAGAUAUUGGGAAGAACACCGGUGGCGAAGGCGGCCAUCUGGCCUGUGAUUGACGCUGAGGCGCGAAAGCGUGGGGAGCAAACAGGAUUAGAUACCCUGGUAGUCCACGCCGUAAACGAUGAGUGCUAGACGUUGGCG